ensembl:rRNA 5S_rRNA 5S ribosomal RNA
GUCUAUGACCACACCACCCUGAACACACCUGUUCCCGUCUGAUCUCAGAAGCUAUACAGGGUCAGGACUGGUUAGCAUGUGGAUGGGAGCAUUGACCUUAUUAUCUAGUACUUCUUAUAGAAU